rnacentral:ncRNA from 1 species
AAGGAUGUGGAGUUGCUUUGACAACCAGGAGGUUGGCUUAGAAGCAGCCACCCUUGAAAGAGUGCGUAAUAGCUCACUGGUCAAGUGAUUCCGCGCCGACAAUGUAACGGGGCUCAAGCACGCCACCGAAGUUGUGGCAUUGACAUUUUGGUAGGCCUUCGUGGUCCAGCCGUGUUGAUGGGUAGGAGAGCGUCGUGUGGCGAGUGAAGCGGCGGGGUGACCCAGCCGUGGACGCUACACGAGUGAGAAUGCAGGCAUGAGUAGCGAAAGACGUGUGAGAAACACGUCCUCCGAAAGACCAAGGGUUCCAGGGUCAAGCUAAUCUUCCCUGGGUAAGUCGGGACCUAAGGCGAGGCCGACAGGCGUAGUCGAUGGACAACGGGUUGAUAUUCCCGUACCGGCGAAGAACCGCCCAAGCUAAUCCAGUGGUGCUAAGAGUCCUAGCUCGGAAUGUUCCGGAUCCUUCGGGUGAUGGUCGUCCGUGUGAACGCUCGACCCCAUGCUGGUGCGGCUAGCGUAUUAACAGGUGUGACGCAGGAAGGUAGCCCAAGCCAGGCGAUGGUUGUCCUGGUGCAAGUGCGUAGGCCGACUCUUAGGCAAAUCCGGGAGUCAUGCAGGCUGAGACACGAUGCGGAUAAAAAGUGGGUGAUCCUAUGCUGCCGAGAAAAGCAUCGACGCGAGGUUCUAGCUGCCCGUACCCCAAACCGACUCAGGUGGUCAGGUAGAGAAUACCAAGGAGAUCGAGAGAAUCGUGGUUAAGGAACUCGGCAAAAUGCCCCCGUAACUUCGGGAGAAGGGGGGCCAUCCACUUACUAGGACUUGCUCCGAAAGGGUGUGGUGGCCGCAGAGACUAGUGGGUAGCGACUGUUUACUAAAAACACAGGUCCGUGCCAAGUCGCAAGACGAUGUAUACGGACUGACGCCUGCCCGGUGCUGGAAGGUUAAGAGGACCGGUUAGCCGCAAGGCGAAGCUGAGAAUUUAAGCCCCAGUAAACGGCGGUGGUAACUAUAACCAUCCUAAGGUAGCGAAAUUCCUUGUCGGGUAAGUUCCGACCUGCACGAAUGGCGUAACGACUUCCCAACUGUCUCAACCGCGAACUCGGCGAAAUUGCAUUACGAGUAAAGAUGCUCGUUACGCGCAGCAGGACGGAAAGACCCCCGUGCCUUUACUACAGCUUGGUAUUGGUGUUCGGUGUGGCUUGUGUAGGAUAGGUGGGAGACGGUGAAGCAUUCACGCCAGUGAGUGUGGGAGUCAUUUGUUUGAAAAUACCACUCUGGGUCACUCUGGGAUAUCUAAACUUUAGGGACCCUGAUCCCGGGUUUCAGGGGGACAGUGCCCUGGGUGGGGGUAGUUUUUAACUGGGGGGCGGUUUGCCUCCCCAAAAUGUAACGGGAGGGCGCCCCCAAAAAGGGUUUCCCCCUCAAACCCUGGGUUUGGGCAAAUCAGGUGGCGAGUGUAAAGUGCACAAGGGAGCUUACUGUGAGACUGACAGGUC